GAAGAAAACAGCAGUAGACUCAUAGACACUAAAAAGGGACUGUUGGUCACCAAAGAGGAGGGGUUGGGGUGAGUUGCAGGGGGAGGGUGAAGGAGAUAAAGGGGCACAAUAAUUCACAAUCACAUAUAAGUUGGUCACCGGGACAGUAAUACAGAACGGAGAAUACGGUUAAUGAUUCUGUAAAUCUUCUACCGUUGAUAGUGACUGCUAGACUAGAGGGGGUGAGGAUUUAAUAAUAUGGGUAACUGUUGAGCCACUCUGUUGUAUAUUUGAGACCAACAUGAGAUGAGAUUGUGUAUCAACGAUACUUUAAUGAAAAAAAAGCCAAACAAACACUGAAGGAGCCAGAAAGAGCCACCGCUUCCCCAAAGCUGGGAGAAUUUGCCUGGGACAAAUUCCAGAGGGGCAGGUGUGUCUUGAGCUCUCACUGUUGAGGCCCAGUGCCUAGCAGCAAAGCCAGGACUUGUAUGGUCACUGUCAUUGGUGAGUCCGCAGGUUCCAGAUCUACAAAUGCUGUUGAUGGUGACUGGCCUCCUGGUCACUGGUCUGACUCCCACACAGCCCAUCAGACCAACUGCUGUGAACCUUCUGGCACCAGGGCAGGCUCCCAUCCACACCCUGCCCUCCUCCUGGAUUCUCUGUGGGGAGCGGGGAAGGUGGAAACACAGGGCCCCGCGGUAGCUGCAUCCAAAAGAGCAGAGCUUCAGCCUUCUUUGUGUCAAGGUUUUGUGGGCAAGGGCAGCAGAAACUUUCCUAAGAAGCCCUGGGGCCACUGGUGAGAGGCCUGGGGUGAGGACCUGGCCUGGGAGGGUGGGCAGUGGCAAUAUUAAUCACGUAGAUAGAUGGAAGACACAUGUGGCAAGCAGGAGACACUCCUUGCGGGCAAAAUAUCUUCCUCAGGGGGAGCUGGGAGAGAUUGCCCACUGGGUUAGAGAGGAGCUUAAAUCGCGCGAGCCGGAACUUGACCUAUCCCCAACCAAACCCCUCAUCAAGGCAACAAAUUCUGGCCUCUGGGCUGUACAGAUAGAGAAUUUUGGAUUCUCAGGCAGCACCGAGAACAGGUUCCAUCCAUCAAAGCAUGCCCUAGGAUGCUUGUGCUCUUCCCACACAGGUAAGUGUGGAGAAGGGGCUUGGAAGUCCCAAGAUGGAAGUGACAGGUAAGAGGAGCAGGUGCCACAGGGGAGAGGGCUGGCCACAGGCUUGCCAAGCCCAGCCCCUCCCUCCCCAGGAAGGAAAUGGAAAGCUGGGAAGCCCUGAGCCCAAGUCUCUACUGUGCCCCGCCCCCACCUCACCGUGAGCCUCUCCUCACACUGGGCGCCCUGCCUCCUUGGAGCUCCAAGCCCUUGCUCCUGGCGCGGAUGCUGGCGCAUGGUCCUGCAGUGCUCGGGCGUUCACCUGAGGGAGCAUGCAACGUGUGCACAAGGACGUGCUGCCAGGUUUCCUUCCAGACCACGCUGAGGGAGCCCCUUCCUGAUGGCCGCUUGAUGAAGCCUCCUGUUGAGGGCAGCUGGUUUCAGUCCCAUCCACUUACGUUCCUUCAGAAGAGGACAAGUGGCAACUGCUGAGACAGGGCUCUGUUAAUAACCUUAGGCGUGAUCAUUUUCUAAGAGGGAACCUAAGAUGGCUGCUGUCACCUAUUUGGUUUUGCACUGGGCCUGAUGCUCCUCCCGGCAUCACAUUUGGAUGAAGAAACAAAGGCUCAGAGAGAUUAAAAGUCUUGAUUAAUUAAGUCGGUAAGGAAGAAGCAGAGCCACAAUUCAAGUUCAAGGGCCCCAACUCCAGAACUAUUGCCCUGUAAGAAGUAUGACACCAUUUAUAUUCAGAAGGGCCACUCUACCUCAGUUUGCAACGAAAUACUCAAGAAACUAAAGUAAAACAUUAAUCAUUGAUGGCAUUUCUACUACCAGAUGUAAAAAUAACACGAUCCAGUUAUUUUGUUUACUAUGACAAAAAUCUUCUUGAAAAAAAUUAAAAUUGGAUGGUUCUAGGAGCCACCUUAUAGAAAUCCUAAUUCAUUUGGUCUGGCCAGGGGCCUACGAAUCUGCAUUUUGUGCCAUAUGUCAGGUGAUUCUGAUGGUCGUUCUUGGGCCAUACUUUGAAAAAGACUGCUCUGGAUGAGUAGGUAUCU